rnacentral:rRNA from 1 species
UACGGAGGGGGCUAGCGUUGUUCGGAAUUACUGGGCGUAAAGCGCACGUAGGCGGCUUUGUAAGUUAGAGGUGAAAGCCCAGGGCUUAACCCUGGAAUUGCCUUUAAGACUGCAUCGCUAGAAUUGUGGAGAGGUAAGUGGAAUUCCGAGUGUAGAGGUGAAAUUCGUAGAUAUUCGGAGGAACACCAAUAGCGAAGGCAGCUCGCUGGGACGUUACUGACACUGAGGCGCGAAAGCGUGGGGAGCGAACAGG